UACGUAGGGUGCGAGCGUUGUCCGGAAUUAUUGGGCGUAAAGAGCUCGUAGGCGGUUUGUUACGUCGGCCGUGAAAACUUCACGCUUAACGUGGAGCUUGCGGUCGAUACGGGCAGACUUGAGUUCGGUAGGGGAGACUUGAAUUCCUGGUGUAGCGGUGAAAUGCGUAGAUAUCGUUUGGAACGCCAAUGGUGAAAACAGACAGCUGGGAGUGUGCUGACGCUGAGACACGAAAGCCAGGGGAGCGAACGGG
rnacentral:rRNA from 1 species